UACGUAGGGGGCAAGCGUUGUCCGGAUUUAUUGGGCGUAAAGAGCGUGUAGGCGGCCAGACAGGUCAGCUGUGAAAACUCGGGGCUUAACCCCGGGCCUGCAGUGGGUACGGGCAGACUAGAGUGCGGUAGGGAAGACUGGAAUUCCUGGUGUAGCGGUGAAAUGCGCAGAUAUCAGGAGGAACACCGGUGGCGAAGGCGGGUCUCUGGGCCGUAACUGACGCUGAGGAGCGAAAGCGUGGGGAGCGAACAGG
rnacentral:rRNA from 1 species